ACGCCGUAUGGUAAAACUAUAAUAAUUUCAGCAUAAUAACAAUGAGUUAUAGUAAGGGAAAUAUGCUAUAAU
rnacentral:sRNA from 24 species